rnacentral:misc_RNA from 1 species
UUUCCGUAGGUGAACCUGCGGAAGGAUCAUUAUUGUAUAAUCGAGGUGCGAGGGCUGUCGCUGUCCCGAUAGGUCUUGCACGCACGAGUGCCCUCACUCACAUCCAUCUCACCCCUAUGUGCAUCACCGAGUGGGCACUCCCUUGGUUUGAUCGGAGGGGGGCUUACGUUUUCACACAAACUUUGUAUGCAGUGUUGAAUGUAUUUUUUGUUUUUGCGAUCACGCAACUAAUACAACUAUCAUCCACGGACCUCUUGCUUCUUGCAUCGAUGAAGUACGAAAGUUGCUGUCGGUAGGUGAACCGGCGGAUGAUUAAUAAUUGUUAAUCCGGCAUCCGAGAACGGUCGCACAACCGGAAGGGCGUGGACAGCCUUGUGCCCUUAGACACAUCCAAUGCACCCCUAGUUACAGGACCGCGUAAUUCCCCCUUUUGAUGGUUCGGGGUGGGGCUUACGUUUUCACACAAUCUUUGUAUACAGUGUAGAAUGUAUAUUUUGUGAUUGCAAUCACGCAAUCAAUACAACUUUCAACAACGGAUCUCUUGGUUCUC